rnacentral:rRNA from 1 species
ACCCGCUGAAUUUAAGCAUAUAAGUAAGUGGUGGAAAUUAAACCAAAUGGGAUUCUGUUAGUAAUUGCGAAUGAACAUAGACAUGCUUAGCUUGAUAAAUGGAGCCUCUGGCUUUGAAUUGUGUUUGUGAACAUGUAUUACCAACAGAGGUGUGGGUGUUAGCGUAUUGGAAGAAAGUGUCAAUGAAGGUGAGAGUCCUUGUUGUCAUGUGCAGCCCUCUGUGCACGGAGUAUGUUUGGUGAGUCACACUCCUUGGCAUUGGAAUGCAAAUUGGGUGGUAAGUUUCAUGCACAGGUAAAUACAUGAUUGAGACUGAUAGCGCACAAGUACCAUGAGGGAAAUAUGAAAAGGACUUUGAAAAGAGAGUUAAAUGAGUUUGCACUUGCUGAACAGAAAGUAAACAGAUUUGAUUAUACUGCGUGAGAUUGUGGUGUUUGCUUUGCAUGUCGAUGUGAAUUGCAAAUGCAAUGUUUGUUGCUGUGUGUGCUAGUUAUUUGUGCAUGUGCUGACCAUUGCACAUGAAUGGUAAUAUCUCUGCGGGGGGUGAUUGUAUGUGCAUGCAUGCAUGUGUGCUCAGGCAUGUGUUUGGUGAUGGUGUGUUGGUAUGUGUGUGUGUGUUCUGUGCUGGGUGUUGUUCGCUGUAUGGGCCCACAAGCUUUAACACUGACUUGCUGGUAAUAUGAUUCUGCUUGACCCGUCUUGAAACACGGACCAAGG